rnacentral:lncRNA from 1 species
AAACUCUGACAAUCUCCGUGAAUCUCCUACUGAAAGUGCCAGUUCUCGAGAAACUUGGCCUACUGCUGAUGCAAUUGCUGCAAAGAAGAUGGAAAAUGGAAAAGCAGAAAUGGAUUGCCCUGAUCAGUCAGUUAUUCGCUGUGUUUCUAGUGCAGACAAAAUUAGUCUUCAGGACAUUGCAAGAGAACGAGUUGAUAUAAUAUGUGAGAAAAUGCAUCAUCUACCUGACGAAUUUCUUGAAGAGCUGAAAAAUGGACUUCGAGUUAUCCUUGAGGGAGGGAAUGGCUCACAGCAUAGAGAGGAAUUUUUCAUUUUGCAAAAGCUUGUUCAGAGUAGAUCUGAUUUAACAGCCAAGACAUUGAUAAGAGCACAUCGUGUACAGCUAGAAAUCCUUGUUGCAAUAAAUUCUGGAAUUCAGGGAUUUUUACAUCCUAGCAUCAGUCUAUCACAGACAUCGCUGAUUGAAAUAUUUGUGUACAAGAGAUGCAGAAACAUAGCUUGCCAAAACCAACUUCCUGCUGAAGAUUGUACCUGUGAGACGUGCGCCAAUGGCAAUGGUUUCUGCAAUCUUUGCAUGUGUGUUAUCUGCAGCAAGUUUGACUUUG